UGGACUUCUCUUUUCCCAAGCCGCUCUACUGUCGCCUUCUCCUUCCUCUCUCCACACACACACACAGAUAGAAAGACAUAGACUCCAUGGCAAUGGCCUCCUCCACCUUCUUCACACUCGAAUGCUUGACACAGCCACACAGGCAGCCCUAGGUCCCCUUUCUCUUCUCUCUUCAGCCACAUGGCAAGAUCAACGGCAGCGAGCCUCGUCUUUGGAUUCCUCCUCCUGCUCUGCGCCAUCACCUGCUCAAUGGCGGCCAGCAGCGCAGGCAGCGAAGAGCAGGAGGCUGACAGGGUGGCCCACCUCCCGGGGCAGCCGGAGAGCCCAGGCGUCACGCAGUUCUCCGGCUACGUCACCGUCGACGAGCGGCACGGCAGGGCGCUCUUCUACUGGUUCUUCCAGGCGCAGGCCUCGCCCGAGCAGAAGCCCCUCUUCCUCUGGCUCAAUGGAGGACCUGGUUGCUCAUCGAUUGGCUAUGGAGCUGCAUCUGAGCUAGGGCCUCUCAGAGUUGUGAAACAGGGACAAGCACUGGAGUUCAACAAAUAUGCUUGGAACCAAGAGGCUAACUUGCUUUUCUUGGAGUCCCCUGCUUGGGUUGGCUUCUCCUACACCAACACAUCCUCUGACCUUAGCAAAUUGGAUGAUGACUUUGUAGCGGAGGAUUCUUACAGUUUCCUGGUAAAUUGGUUCAAGAGGUUUCCUCAGUACAAGGGCAGAGAGUUCUACAUAUCAGGAGAGAGCUAUGCAGGUCACUAUGUGCCACAACUUGCUGAUCUUGUCUAUGAGAGGAACAAGGACAAGAUGUCCAACAUAUACAUCAACCUCAAGGGCUUCAUGGUUGGAAACCCUAUCACCGAUGAUCACUACGAUUCAAAAGGGCUGGCUGAGUAUGCCUGGAGCCACACAGUCGUGUCGGACCAAGUUUAUGAGCGUAUCAACACAAAAUGUGACUUCAAGACCUCCAACUGGACUGAUGACUGCAAUGCCGCCAUGAACGUUAUCUUUGGGCAGUACCGCGAGAUUGACAUAUACAACAUCUAUGCCCCUAAGUGCCUCUUGGAUCUGAACUCAUCAUCUUCUACAGAUCGACCAUUCUUUGUGAGUAAUCAGGAGGCACAAUUCGGGAAGCGAAGACGGAUAUUUUCAGGCUAUGAUCCAUGCUACUCGUCCUAUGCUCAGGACUACUUCAACAGGAAAGAAUUGCAAAAAGCAUUCCAUGCAAAUGUCAGUGGAUCCCUUCCAGGGAAGUAUCAAGUCUGCAGUGACCCCAUCCUGAACUCAUACAAUUUCUCGGUGUUCUCGGUGCUACCGAUCUACUUCAAACUUAUCAAGGCAGGGCUGAGAAUCUGGCUCUACAGCGGCGAUGCGGAUGGCAGGGUACCGGUGAUUGGCUCCCGGUACUGCGUAGAAGCCCUCGGCCUACCGAUCAAGACCCCAUGGCAGCCCUGGUACCUUGAAAAGCAGGUCGCUGGGAGGUUUGUGGAAUAUGAUGGCAUGAGCAUGGUGACUGUCAGAGGGGCAGGCCACCUAGUGCCCCUCAACAAGCCAGCUGAAGGGCUCAAGUUGAUAAAUGCGUUCCUUCGCGGUGAGCAGCUUCCGACGCACCGGUGAUUCAGGGUUGAUUACCACCACAUCAGCAAUCCCAUCCCGAAAACAAGAUUUCAGCACUAAGAACCCAGCGCUGCCUUCCCGGGCCGCCACCGCCGACUCAACUGCCCGCGCAGCACCUCCCUGCGGUGACCGCUCUGGAUACGCGUCGGCGCCGGAUUAGAUUCCCGUGCAAGAGACGAGCAAAGGGGUCCAGGGCUGACCGGCGCUAUCCACCGCCGUGCGGUUCCUCGUGCACUGUGCCACCGCGUGCUCCGUGACCUUCUUCUGACGCCAGCCACAGCCGGCGGGCGGCUUGGACUGGGUGCCAUGUCCGUGGCCGCGACUGCUAGCAUCAACCCCGAGAUCAUUUUGAUUGAAUGUCCAAUUAUAUUGUUAUGUUUUGUAUAAACAUGAAUUUUCGCGUGCACAUGUUUAAGAGGCCGUGGCAACGCACGGGCACUGUACUAGUCUAUUGUAAAAAAACUUAUCACCUCCUUCUAACGCAAACAAUUAAAUCUAUUACAUAAUCAAGAUAGGGGUGAUGUUUUCCAUCAAAA